rnacentral:piRNA from 1 species
UGGUCUGAAAGUGAGUAAACA